GUGGGGAAUCUUAGACAAUGGGGGAAACCCUGAUCUAGCCAUGCCGCGUGAGCGAUGAAGGCCUUAGGGUUGUAAAGCUCUUUCAGCUGGGAAGAUAAUGACGGUACCAGCAGAAGAAGCCCCGGCUAACUCCGUGCCAGCAGCCGCGGUAAUACGGAGGGGGCUAGCGUUGUUCGGAAUUACUGGGCGUAAAGCGCGCGUAGGCGGACCAGAAAGUUGGAGGUGAAAUCCCAGGGCUCAACCUUGGAACUGCCUUCAAAACUCCUGGUCUGGAGUUCGAGAGAGGUGAGUGGAAUUCCGAGUGUAGAGGUGAAAUUCGUAGAUAUUCGGAGGAACACCAGUGGCGAAGGCGGCUCACUGGCUCGAUACUGACGCUGAGGUGCGAAAGCGUGGGGAGCAAACAGGAUUAGAUACACUAGUAGUCC
rnacentral:rRNA from 1 species